AAGGUGCUAGUAAAGUAAAAUACGCUGCUUUGUCAGGGCAGAAUCGUGGGUUCAACUCCCGCGCACUUUG
rnacentral:tRNA from 1 species